CCUACGGGAGGCUGCAGUGAGGAAUAUUGGUCAAUGGGAGAGAUCCUGAACCAGCCAAGCAGCGUGAGGGAAGACGGCCCUAUGGGUUGUAAACCUCUUUUGUCGGAGAACAAAACCCGGGACGUGUCCCGCACUGCGCGUAUCCGAAGAAAAAGCAUCGGCUAACUCCGUGCCAGCAGCCGCGGUAAUACGGAGGAUGCGAGCGUUAUCCGGAUUUAUUGGGUUUAAAGGGUGCGUAGGCGGUCCGUUAAGUCAGCGGUAAAAUUGCGGGGCUAAACCCCGUCGAGCCGUUGAAACUGGCAGACUUGAGUGGGCGAGAAGUACGCGGAAUGCGCGGUGUAGCGGUGAAAUGCAUAGAUAUCGCGCAGAACUCCGAUUGCGAAGGCAGCGUGCCGGCGCCAGACUGACGCUGAGGCACGAAAGCGUGGGGAUCGAACAGGAUUAGAUACCCUAGUAGUC
rnacentral:rRNA from 1 species